UACGUAGGGGGCAAGCGUUGUCCGGAUUUAUUGGGCGUAAAGAGCGUGUAGGCGGUCAGGUAGGUCCGUUGUGAAAACUCGAGGCUCAACCUCGAGACGCCGAUGGAAACCAUCUGACUAGAGUCCGGAAGAGGAGAGUGGAAUUCCUGGUGUAGCGGUGAAAUGCGCAGAUAUCAGGAAGAACACCAGUGGCUAAGGCGGCUCUCUAGUACGGUACUGACGCUGAGACGCGAAAGCGUGGGGAGCGAACAGG
rnacentral:rRNA from 1 species